rnacentral:rRNA from 1 species
AUUGAACGCUGGCGGCAGGCCUAACACAUGCAAGUCGAGCGGAUGAAGGGAGCUUGCUCCUGGAUUCAGCGGCGGACGGGUGAGUAAUGCCUAGGAAUCUGCCUGGUAUUGGGGGAUAACGUCCGGAAACGGGCACUAAUACCGCAUACGUCCUGAGGGAGAAAGUGGGGGAUCUUCGGACCUCACGCUAUCAGAUGAGCCUAGGUCGGAUUAGCUAGUUGGUGGGGUAAAGGCCUACCAAGGCGACGAUCCGUAACUGGUCUGAGAGGAUGAUCAGUCACACUGGAACUGAGACACGGUCCAGACUCCUACGGGAGGCAGCAGUGGGGAAUAUUGGACAAUGGGCGAAAGCCUGAUCCAGCCAUGCCGCGUGUGUGAAGAAGGUCUUCGGAUUGUAAAGCACUUUAAGUUGGGAGGAAGGGCAGUAAGUUAAUACCUUGCUGUUUUGACGUUACCAACAGAAUAAGCACCGGCUAACUUCGUG